GAUGAAGAACGUAGCGAAAUGCGAUAAGUAAUGUGAAUUGCAGAAUUCCGUGAAUCAUCGAAUCUUUGAACGCACAUUGCGCCCCCUGGUAUUCCGGGGGGCAUGCCUGUCCGAGCGUCAUUUGCAACCCUCAAGCCCGGCUUGUGUGAUGGGUGCCGUCCCCUACGGGACGCGCCCCGAAGGCAAUGGCGGCGUCGCGGUUAUCCGAUCAGCCAAAGUGUAUGGGGCUUUGUCACUCACUUUACGGCCCGGACCGGCGCCAGUCCGAAUCAAUCUUUUUUCUAAAGUUGACCUCGGAUCAGGUAGGGAUACCCGCUGAACUUAAGCAUAUCAAUAAGCGGAGGA
rnacentral:misc_RNA from 1 species